CGCACGGGUGCGUAACGCGUAUGCAAUCUACCUUAAUCAGGGGGAUAGCCCGGAGAAAUCCGGAUUAACACCGCAUAACAUUGUUCUGUGGCAUCACAAUUNAAUCAAAUAUUUAUAGGAUUAAGAUGAGCAUGCGUGACAUUAGUUAGUUGGUGAGGUAACGGCUCACCAAGACCACGAUGUCUAGGGGAUCUGAGAGGAUGACCCCCCACACUGGUACUGAGACACGGACCAGACUCCUACGGGAGGCAGCAGUAAGGAAUAUUGGUCAAUGGGCGCAAGCCUGAACCAGCCAUGCCGCGUGCAGGAAGACGGCCCUAUGGGUUGUAAACUGCUUUUGUACCGGAAUAAACCUUCUCUUGCGAGAGAAGCUGAACGUACGGUAAGAAUAAGGAUCGGCUAACUCCGUGCCAGCAGCCGCGGUAAUACGGAGGAUCCAAGCGUUAUCCGGAUUUAUUGGGUUUAAAGGGUGCGUAGGCGGCUUUUUAAGUCAGGGGUGAAAACUUGCGGCUCAACCGUAAGCUUGCCUUUGAUACUGAGGAGCUUGAAUACACUUGAGGUAGGCGGAAUGUGACAAGUAGCGGUGAAAUGCAUAGAUAUGUCACAGAACACCAAUUGCGAAGGCAGCUUACUAAAGUGUGAUUGACGCUGAG
rnacentral:rRNA from 1 species